rnacentral:misc_RNA from 1 species
UUGAAUGAACUUGGCUUGGUUGUGCUGGUCCUCUCGAGGACAUGUGCAUGCCUUGUCAUCUUUAUCUAUCCACCUGUGCACCUUUUGUAGACUUGAAUAUAGUGAAUGGGAGAGCGUGCUCUCUUUGAAGCUAUACCAGGCCUAUGUUUUCAUAUACCCCAAAGAAUGUAAUAGAAUGUGUUGUAUGGCCUUGUGCCUAUAAAUCAUAUA